rnacentral:lncRNA from 1 species
UUAAGCAUUAUUACAAAAAAAUUCAAUUUUAAAUUUGCUACCAAUUCUUUGGCAUCUUAAAAUUCCUAGUAUUUAUUCUAAAAUCCUAAUUUAUAAGCACCUAACUACUAUUUUCUUUAUAUCUCACAAAUCAAAAACUCAAAUACCACAAAACCUAUGUAUAAAGUUUAUCAAUAUGAAAAUAUAUAUUUUUAAAAAGUAUUGACUAGAAUCUUGUCAAAUUGCACAAGAUAUAGUUCAAAAUACAACCACUAGCAAUUUGGAUCACUUACUACUCUU